rnacentral:tRNA from 1 species
AUUUAAGUAGUUUAAAAAAAACAUUGAUUUGUGGGAUCAAAAUUGUAGUUUAUUAUCUUAGAUA